rnacentral:rRNA from 1 species
AUUGAACGCUGGCGGCAGGCCUAACACAUGCAAGUCGAGCGGAGCGGCGGACGGGUGAGUAAUGCCUAGGAAUCUGCCUGGUAGUGGGGGAUAACGUCCGGAAACGGGCGCUAAUACCGCAUACUAUCGGAUGAGCCUAGGUCGGAUUAGCUAGUUGGUGGGGUAAAGGCCUACCAAGGCGCCGAUCCGUAACUGGUCUGAGAGGAUGAUCAGUCACACUGGAACGGAGAAAAGGUCAAGACGCUACCGGGAGGCAGCAGUUGGGAAUAUGGGACAAUGGGCGAAAGCCUGAUCCAGCCAUGCCGCGUGUGUGAAGAAGGUCUUCGGAGUGUAAAGCACUUAAAGUUGGGAGGCGUGACCAACAGAAUAAGCACCGGCUAACUUCGUGCCAGCAGCCGCGGGAAUAC